UGGGGAAUCUUGCACAAUGGGGGCAACCCUGAUGCAGCGACGCCGCGUGAGCGAUGAAGGUUUUCGAAUCGUAAAGCUCUUUCCUAUGGGAAGAUAAUGACGGUACCAUAGGAGGAAGCCCCGGCUAACUACGUGCCAGCAGCCGCGGUAAUACGUAGGGGGCGAGCGUUGUCCGGAAUUACUGGGCGUAAAGGGUUCGCAGGCGGCAUGGCAAGUCCGAUGUAAAAGGCGAAGGCUCAACCUUCGUAAGCAUCGGAAACUGUCAAGCUUGAGUGAAGGAGAGGCAAGUGGAAUUCCUAGUGUAGCGGUGGAAUGCGUAGAUAUUAGGAGGAAUACCGGUGGCGAAGGCGACUUGCUGGACUUCAACUGACGCUGAGGAACGAAAGCGUGGGUAGCAAACAGG
rnacentral:rRNA from 1 species